rnacentral:rRNA from 1 species
UACGAAGGGGGCUAGCGUUGUUCGGAUUUACUGGGCGUAAAGCGCGCGUAGGCGGAUCGUUAAGUCAGGGGUGAAAUCCCGGGGCUCAACCCCGGAACUGCCUUUGAUACUGGCGAUCUCGAGUCCGGAAGAGGUGAGUGGAAGUCCGAGUGUAGAGGUGAAAUUCGCAGAUAUUCGGAGGAACACCAGUGGCGAAGGCGGCUCACUGGUCCGGUACUGACGCUGUGGCGCGAAAGCGUGGGGAGCAAACAGG